GAUGAACGCUGGCGGCGUGCCUAAUACAUGCAAGUCGAGCGAACGGACGAGAAGCUUGCUUCUCCGAUGUUAGCGGCGGACGGGUGAGUAACACGUGGAUAACCUACCUAUAAGACUGGGAUAACUUCGGGAAACCGGAGCUAAUACCGGAUAAUAUUUUGAACCGCAUGGUUCAAAAGUAAAAGACGGUCUUGCUGUCACUUAUAGAUGGAUCCGCGCUGCAUUAGCUAGUUGGUAAGGUAACGGCUUACCAAGGCAACGAUGCAUAGCCGACCUGAGAGGGUGAUCGGCCACACUGGAACUGAGACACGGUCCAGACUCCUACGGGAGGCAGCAGUAGGGAAUCUUCCGCAAUGGGCGAAAGCCUGACGGAGCAACGCCGCGUGAGUGAUGAAGGUCUUCGGAUCGUAAAACUCUGUUAUUAGGGAAGAACAUAUGUGUAAGUAACUGUGCACAUCUUGACGGUACCUAAUCAGAAAGCCACGGCUAACUACGUG
rnacentral:rRNA from 1 species